UGCACCAGCAGUGAGACAUAGAGGUAGCUACCGUAUGUGCUGGAGGGGCAGCUCCCUGGCACGGGAGGACUUUGUGCGUGUGCUGGCUUGUACAAACCAAGCUAGUCCUGGCCUAAGCUGUUGCAAGAGGUGUGAGUAGUCCAGGCCUGUGUCUAGAGAUGGGACAUUUCUCUGAAGACUCUGAAGCAUCAUCAUUUCAGCUGCUUCUUCCCAACUCACACAGCAGUCCCUUCUGGUGAAAAAUGGUCUUUGGUGAGGUCAUCUGCAGAGCAAGGAAGAGGAUGGCACAAUGAUGACAAGAAAAAGGAAAGAAUGCUUGUACCAAUUUUCAGAAACCAAACAGAGGCAAAACUUCCGGAGGCCAGAAUGAUUUGCUAGACACUUAUUUCUGCUAAAGGCCAAGGAUGAAGUGAAACAACAAGGUUUCAUCACUGUGAUGCUUAAGUGGGAAACAAGAACAGAGGCUUCUUUGUGGAGUGGUAUCCAUUCCUUUGGUAGCCGUUCAGCAACAAGGGCUCGCAUUCACACAAACCCUCCGUGUGUGACAAGCACCAUCUUGGCCAACAGACCAGAGUCACAGCCAGGGCUGGUCUUGCUGGGGCUCCAUCAGCCUCUUAUCUUUUGUGAAACAAGUGCAGAGGGCACCCAGAGUAUGUGCAUGAUAAUUGCUUAUCUUGGGCAGAACAAUUACGGCACAUAAAGGCUGGGACUUGGUGAGGAAUCUGGAUAGAAGACUUCUCAGGCAGGAGGUCUUUUGGGGAUACAUUAAGAAUGAAAAUGGUAUAAUGUCAGAACUACUUCUGAUACUCUGUAGAUGGCUAGAAAGGACUAGUGGUUUAUUAAAAGUAUUCAUUUUUUAUAUCUUACAUUGUUUCAUCUAAAAAGACUCAAUCGUGCUGAUGGACACACUUAGUAGCAGAUCAGUGUAGCUGUGUGUUCCCUUCACUGUUUUCCUCACGCUUUUUCUCCCAUUUCUUCUUGUUGUACAUCAUUUUCAGCAUACCCCAGUUCUCUGACUGGCUCCUGCCCAGGGGCCAGCCCAGGAACAAACUGUAGGUGCAAGGCCACAGAUAGGAAACUGCCAGGAAAACAUCUCUUAUACUUUUGCAGUAACUGCAACACAGUGGGACUGCGUUCCUGUGCAGGUCUUCUGAAUCCACUAUAGCAAUGACCACUACAUUUCUAACUUUUUAAAGUUAUGGUUCCGUUUCCCUAAAUAACAGAAGCUUUUGCAUAGCCAACUUUUUAGUUAUUUUCUUAGGAGAAUCAUUGUUACCAGCUUCUUUUCCGCCUGAGACUGUUUGUUAUUGAUAGAUCAAGUAGGCAUAGUGUGUUCUCGGCAUCCUUUAGAAGCCUUGUAUUUCUUCAGACCUUCAGCUUCCUUUUUCACCUAUUUUUAAACUGGCUGGUUUACAGUUAGUGGAAGAACUCAGCAGGAGUUUUAAUAAACAUUUAUCAGGAUAAAAUAUUUUCCCAUCUGUCUGCACACUAUUGUUGGGCUGUGCAUUCCUUUAUCCGUAAUUGCGACAUACUGCAGGAGAUCUGGCCCUCUAUCAUGUUGUACCUUUUGUGGACAUUUUGAUCAGGACAAAGCAAGAGAAAAGUCCAAUACUUAAGCAGCUCCUGCCUCCUUGUUCCCACUCUUCUGCUUCUACUUUACCUGUGUCAGUGCAGCUGUUUGUAGGGUCAUGCUAUUAACUGAGUGGUGUUAAAAAUAACUGGGUUUACCAAUUUAUUUUUAACCUGGGUCAGUUAGUUGACCUAUUUUAACCUGCAGCCCAUAAGCAAUUGUACCUGCAAAACUGAAAGGCCGACAUGGAGCAGGAACAACCGAAAGGCAAAAGAAGGAGGGAAGAGUCUCUUUUUUAAUCUGAUUUUACUGCCGAAAGAAAAGUUCAUCCCCUUACAGCCUGAACACAAAGCAGAGCCAUUUUGAUGUGGUAGUAUUCGCUCUCCCUUUGGUAGGUAUAAAUGCCAUUACAGCUUCUGUAUGUGCAUUACACUUUUGUAUUGCAGUGAAUUAUCAGAUUUGUAAUUCCUUAUUUUUGAGUAAGGGUGGAUCUAUGACUGAAGGGGCUCCCAGUGCAAUGAUCAUUGAGAUUAUGAGCUCACUGAGGGUUAUCCUGAGGCAAACUAGGGGUGAAUAUUCUGGACAAAAGCUGCCCUGUAGUAGUUUCCCCUGCACAUGCUCUUGCACAGUAAUCCAAGGUAACAUACCCCCUAACUAAAAGAGAGUUAAGCUCUCUCUUGUAUAAUGACAGGUAAGAGUUUGCCAUAAGCAAUUUUCACAGUGUAGUUGAUUUACUAUAAAUUCACACAGUAACUUAUGUAACAAUAAGCUAUUCAUGUGCCAUUACCCUCACUGAGCAGCAGGCAGUAUAGCCUGAGGGCAUCUCUACACAUUAAGGUCACUUUAGAAUACAGCAGUAUGUGAAAAUAAGGCAGAAUAGCUACAUCAGGUUGAUGCCACAGGUCCCUCUCAUUCCCAGUAAAUAUGCUACUGAUGUUGUUCACUGAAAAAUGAAUUAAGGUAAGACAGGACAUUCUUACUCACAUAAAGAAUCCCAGAACAGAAUUUUUCUGAGCUGCUAUGCAAAAUUAUUUUUUCUGUGAAAUAGCCUAAGUUUUAGGAGCUAUCAUGCCUUCCAAGCUUGUGAGCCUAUUGCAAUAUCACCUUUUAGAAAGAAGAUAACAGACAGCCUUCAGCCCUAAAAUGAAUCAGCCUGCUAGCUGUCUAGGAAUAUUUGGAGGAAAGGGAAAAUGAGAAUGGAUCUGGCCCCGUAAAGCUGUACUUUCCCCUUUUUUCAUAUCAGCUGAGUGUAGAUAGGCACUGAAAAAGUUAAUUCACUACUGAGAUUUAAGGCAGACAAACCAUAAGCAUUUGGAUACAACAGUGGUUAGACUUGAAAUUCAAGACUGCUUUCUUUUUCUCUGUCAAUGACCACAGCUGUCAUUUCAGCUUCAGACUGCUAAACAAACACUCUCUCCCUUUUACCUAUCAAAAAUCAAAAGCUUAACAGCUGUUUAACCUUAUCUGCUAAUUCCAUUGGGAAAUACUGCAAAGUUUUGUUCACAGGUAUUGUUUACUUUGCUCCCUGACUAGAAACUAGAAAAUACAUUUUUAAUAUCUAGACUGUGUGCUCAUUAAGAGCAAUUAGUCAUCAAGAAGUCAGUGUUUAAACACAGGCCUCACAAUGACAUAAUCACAAAUAAGAAAUCUGCCAUUAUAGAAAGACAGCAUUUUUAGCAUAACUUUUCCCAAAUAAGAACAUCAUGUCCUGUGCUACCGUACUUUCAAUUUAAAAGGUGAUGGGGAAUAGAGUUCACUGCAAUUAUUUCCUGAUUAUCUUGGGAAUGUAUUGUUAAACUUCUUAGAUUCUUGGGUUAAAGAAUGGUUCUGUCUACAAUAUUCAAUAGUGACUGCUCAAAAAGUGGCCCACAUUUAGCAAGGACAUUUUAAUAGAUCCAAAGAGCCUGAAAGCAAAAAAAAAAAAAAAAAAAAAAAAAAAAAAAAAAAAAAGAAAGAAAGAAAGAAAAAGAAAUAAUGUGGGAGCAAAUUCUGAUGAUAUUUAACAAGACUCCUGCGGUCAGUUAAUCUUCUUUCCCAUAGGACUCGCUUUCACCAGAAAAAAUACCUCCCUUAGCAGCUAUGAAUUAAUGCAUUUUUGAUUGUGACCUGUCAGUCAGAGUAGAAAUGGGCAAGUUAUUUUCAUCAUUAUGUAGUUGAUCUUGGCUAAACUCCACUUACAGAAGUUUAUUCCCAGCCUGUUAACUAAUAAAGGCCAUGACUGCUAUCAGCAGCUGUGACUUCAUCUGGGAUUUAACUCCUUCUGAGUCAUAACUUUGGGUAUUAAUUAGCAUCAAGUUCAAACAGUAGCACACCUUACAGAUUUGUUUCCUGUGCAUUUAGGAAACACCUUCUGGUGUUUAAGACAUCGCAGCUCACAUUCCCUUUUUUUUCCACCCUCACACUAGAAUCCUCAAAACGGAAUGCUUGUCUCUAGCGCACCCAUUUCAUAUGUGUAGCAAGUUAGCUUAAAAACUUCCUAUGGAGGUAGGAUUAAGUUAAUCCAAUGCAUGUUGCCCUAGAGCAGUCGAGGGCUCUGAUUCAUGGUUCCUGUCAGUUUUGGCCAUAGCACCCACAGAUCCAGAGCCCGGAGCCACUGCAAUUCCAUGUGGAUUCAGGUAGAUACUAGUCUAUGUAGCACUAAGCUUUGAAUGAUUGCAGUUCAGGAUCAGACCUCCACAGAGCAGGGCAGACAGAUGGAGCAGUAAUCAUUUAAAUCACCCCAGUAUGAACUGGCAAAGCUCACAAGCGAGGGCCCUCAGCUGCAGGGACAUGCAUGGGACCAACUCUGUGCUGCCAGCCAUGCUGUGGGUGUGGGCCCUUCCAGGAAAGGAGUAGGGCUGAGAGCUGGAAAGUUAGCCGUCUUCAACCCCUGCAGCCACAUUCCCUCGAGUUCAUCUGGCAAUGCCCCCUGCCACGCCACAUCACAAGUAAGCAACCGCGCUGUGAGGUAAUGGCAAACCACAGGCUGGCUUGUCUCUCCUCUCCUCUCUCUCUCUCAAUCUCUCUCUUUUUUUUUUUUUGCUACGUCUGAAUUCCUGCAGUGAAUAUUUACAGCUGUGACCAAUGACAGCAAUCAACUGAUUCUUUGUAAGUCCUCAGGACCGUCCUUUCCUGCCAUAUCCUCGUGCUUCAUCCCAUGAUCACAAAUGAUCAGCCUUCAGAUAGCUCUAUUCUCUGUUCAGCUUCUACCAUUUCCAGUCUUCAGUAUAGGAGCAAGAAGAAUGCCUGUCAGGGAAAUCAUAUAUUAGUAUGUAGCCACCCGGACAAAUGUUGAUAACAAACAUAGUCAACAAACCAUUGGGCCCAAGUAAGCAAAGCUCCCUGAGUUGAGCUGCAUGAUUAACACUGUUCAGAAGCUGUGCUGAUCAGGGGAUUGACUGGACAUGACUGCAGUGGGCUGAAGCUGAGCUAUGAGAACUGCUGAGCCAAGGAUAUUAGUUAUAAGUCUAGCACAUGCUCCGUGACCUGUCUGCAAUUCUUUACGGGGACCACGAAGCGUGGCUCCUUCUUGUCAGCCAGGACUCACCUGAGGAGCUGGGGUGGGCACAGGCUCUGAGCCGGGCAGCGUGCAAGCACAGCUACCACAUCCUAGGUGAAUACUCUGCACAGAGCAGAUCUCCUACCUCAGAGUUAGGCUGCAAUGAAGACACAACAUCCCGUAUGCAGGCACUGAUAGUAUGACAGCAAAAAACAAGUACAGCAUGCUCAGUAUUUUAUUGUGGUCUGGCCUCUCUGCAAGUGUUAAUGACAAUCACUUAAAUUAGGAUAAAAUGUUUCAACUUCUACACUGAAGAAAAAUUGUGGCUCACUAUUCUGAUUAAAAUUUAGUCUCUUCCUAAUUUAGAUAAAUUUUACAAGAGUCUCAAAAGUUAGCCGUGAUCAACAAAAAUACUUUUAAUUGCUGAGAGAAGACACAUGAUCAUAAAAAUGUCCAAAUUAAAACAUGUUUUGAAGGGUAUUUUAAAAUGCAUAAAUAUACUUCAGGAUGUCUAGUUAAUGUGCAAGCCACUUCCUUGCUUCCUAAAGUUUCUAUCUGUGAACCUCUUUAUAGCAUAUAGCCUCCGACUUAUCUGCACUGUCUUAGUUUCACAGCUCAGUACUGCUUGUUGAGUGGUAAAUCAAACUGCAUCAUCAUGGCCACAAUUUCAGUUUAUUCCCGCAAAACAUUCAUUUUAUCAUAAUAUGGUCUGAUUUAUAUCAUUAUCUAUUUGUAUUCCAGUGUCAUGGUAUAAAAUUCUGAGCUGCUAUGGAGAAGAAAAACUUGUGGCAUUCUAUAAGUUGUUUCUGGAGGACUUAAGAUAAAUCACUUAACAUUUAUUGGGCCAGUUUGGGAAAUUAUCUUGAACCAACUGACCUAUAGGCAGCAUCAGAAAAAGAAAAUCAGAAUUAGUAUAGUUUAGGGGUGAAACACGUAAAGUAAUUAAUUCUGUUUUGCCAUAAGGCAGAUUUUGUUGAGAGAGAAACUGAGUAAUUUUAGAGCAAUGAUUCUCAAGCAGUGACUUGUAGACGAGUAAGUAAUGGCCAACAGGGCUCUGACAAAUGCAUAGAGCUGUUUAUAUGCACUAAUGGGGGUCUGAGUAACAAACUAUUGGCUUUAGAAAGAAUUAUUUACCAAGUGUAAUUCUCAGUAAGCAGAGCAAUUAAUUGCAAAGAUUUGUCUUUAGUCACAGCUAAACUUACCUUUUAGUUUCCUCCCAUUCUUUACUGAUAAUACGCAGUCAGCAACUAUGCUACGGCUGGGGAACAUCUUGGUGUCAGCAAGUUAGAUGCAAAUUAGAGAAAGAAUAGUAAGAACUGAAGGUUGGAAUUUUCAAGAAAGCCUCAGAAAGUUUGUGGAACAACUGAUAUACUUAGCAUUUGUACAAAUAUAACUAUCUGAGCUAGCAGAAUGAUUUUUUAAAAUUAUAAUACUGACAUUUGUACAACACCUUGUUUGGCAUAUACAAAUAUUAGUAUUCAAACUAGUAUGUAUCUGUACUCAGUGUUGGGGAAAAGGUCCUAGCAUAGGACCUUUGGAAAAACAAAGCUUGGAAAAACAAUCUGAUAUUCAGAAUCAUAGAAUAAUUUAGGUUGGAAGGGUCCCUUGGAGGUCAUCUAGUCCAACCUCCUGCUCCAAAGCAUGUCCAACAAAAGCAGGUUGCUCAGGACCUUGUCUAGACUAGGUCAGUUUACCCCUACACUAACAAAAAGAGAAAAAAAUAAAUGCCAACAUAGUCUCCUGAACUUCCAGGAAAGGCCAGUGUGGUACAGUAUUCAUUCUACAGAGGUCUCUUUUGAACAUUGCUUAUGCUACCAUAGCAUGCUUUAAAUACGGGGCUCUUCUAGACCUGCAGUUAUAUAUUUAGACCAAAUGGCUAAGGUUGCUACUGUUCCUCCCUCUUCCCCAUCCCUUUGCUGGAUGAGAUGGGGACAUCUCUUGAUUUCAUGAAUCAGCUCUUGAGCUCCCUCCCCCUCUUCCCUGCUUUUAAGCUCAGCUUGUUAAGAUGAAGCAAAUCCUAUCUGGUUAUUGUAAUACCUCAAGCUGAAACCUGUCGGAGAGAUUGCCCCCAGAUGGCUGGGGGCAAUAACAGCUGCAGCUGUACUUUUAACGUACAGCUGCAUGUCUGUUCAUAUGCAAAGGCUAUAGACCAAAGUGUUCUUUGGGCCCACUUGGACUGGUUGAAGGAGUUACUUCCUCAGCCUGUCCCCAGCUGCUUAUCACUCCACCACUGCUGGAGGGUGCUUAUCUGUCAGAUCCAUGAGACUUUGUGCCUGGACUGCACCCUAACUGUCUCAGUAAUAUCUGCCAGAAUCAGAAAGUCCUACUCUUUUAACUCUCUAAUCUAUCUGUGGGCAAAUGAGAUGGUUACUGUUUACUUACACUAAUAUGAUUAAAACAAUACAGCUUUUUGUGUAGGUAAGGCCUAGAAUACUACUAUUCCCUUGGUAGUUCAAGCCCAACAGUAUGGGUUAAGAUGAUUCUUGUUUAAAAUUCCAUCUCAGUUUCUGGACAAUCCUGUCAUUUCUUAUCACUGUUUUAAAUAACGUACCUGAACUGUCAAACAUAUCAUUCACACUGUGUAAAUUUAACAUGUACACUGGACUUGUAACCUCCUGUCAAAAUGACAAAAGCUGUUGUGAUAGGAAGUGGCAAAGUUUUUCAGUAAUAUUGCUAAUGAUCGUCAUGUGUUAUGGUUUUUCAUGCAUGGAAAUAAAGCUACUGGUUUCUUCAGUUUGUGGCUGAAGUAUCACAGCAUCUAUUUAGUUCAA